rnacentral:rRNA from 1 species
GGGGGAAUAUUGCACAAUGGGCGGAAGCCUGAUGCAGCGACGCCGCGUGGGGGAUGAAGGCCUUCGGGUUGUAAACUCCUUUCGACAGGGACGAAGCUUUUGUGACGGUACCUGUAUAAGAAGCACCGGCUAACUACGUGCCAGCAGCCGCGGUAAUACGUAGGGUGCGAGCUUUGUCCGGAAUUACUGGGCGUAAAGAGCUCGUAGGUGGUUUGUCGCGUCGUCUGUGAAAUUCCGGGGCUUAACUCCGGGCGUGCAGGCGAUACGGGCUGACUUGAGUGCUGUAGGGGAGACUGGAAUUCCUGGUGUAGCGGUGAAAUGCGCAGAUAUCAGGAGGAACACCGAUGGCGAAGGCAGGUCUCUGGGCAGUAACUGACGCUGAGGAGCGAAAGCAUGGGUAGCGAACAGG